UCUUGAAAAGCCUCCUUUUAUGGAAAAUCCAAGCAACAAAAUGGGCCACUUGAUACAAACAUGAUAGGACUUGAUAAAAUCACUGGGCUGAUAAAGGGUUCCACCACGAAUUAAUGAUGGAUCUUCCUCACCAAUCAACCGAAGGGUCUCUUAUAAUCGAUUAAUAUACUGACUUUCUGCAGUUCAUAAUGCAAUGAUGUACACUAUAGCAUUUAUCAGGGAAGAAAAAAACGAAAAGAUGAUGAUGAUGAUGAUGAUUCAUAUCGCACAGGCAGCUGGGACUGCCUCAUAGGGUAAGCUGACAUCAAACAACAGGCUUGUUAACUGGGAGCAGUUAGGGUAGGGAAGUGGUUUUCAGUCUAGGCACAAGAAAGUGCAGGCACAGGCUAGCAGGAUUGUCAGGAUAGAUAAGAGUGUGAGAGACUCAGAGAGAGGCUUGGAGCGAGGUAUAUUUCUGAUUUUAACCUGGAAAAUGCACAUUUCCUGAUCAUUUAGAGAGCGAGGCGAGACUGUUCGAGUGAUUAAACAUACAUUUUAGGAUGCAUACAGGCUAGGCAGCCAAUCAUAGAAGAUAAACAAGCAACAUAAAUAGAAGGUGAUUAGGUGAACAUAGGAACCAGGAGGAUCUUCCAUUCAUUGAACCUCAAUUCAUUUGUUCUAGUUACAUUAACUUCUGCUGAAGAUGAAUGUUUGGACAGUUUAGAUGCUAUUUCAUGCAUGUACGAAAUGAUCCUGUUAGUCAAUUGUCCAUGAGCUUCGUCAUUAUGGAGAGACCAUGUCACCUUCUUUGCGAGUGGAUGAGGAGAUCGUGCGAAACAUUGGUCUCUGCUAAAGAAAGAUGUCAUUGCCGGAUUGCUUGUUCUAUAUGCAAUGGCUCAUAACAUCAAGCUGCUCCGAUUUUCUGUCAUUAUGAUAAUCAUGAUCUGCCAUAAUAUGGAUUCAUCAUCCUCACAAUAGGUAGCAAAACUUCAAGUCACCAGAAAAUUCUUGGCAUGCAAACCAACCAGUACAUGCUAGUGAGAUCAAAUAUUUCCACAGAAGCAAUCCAAAUCAAGUAGAUGUGCAGGGUAGACCCCAGUACCAACUCUUAGUAAAGAUUCCUCCGGUCACAAAGCCAAAUGGACUUUGAACGUGAUAGUAACAGAACGGUAAAGAAUCUAUUCUCCAGGUUUGCAUCACUAUCAUUUUCAAUCGGUCACAGAAGCAAGAACCUGAAUACAAACUUUCCAGCUUAUGGAAAGACAAGGAACCAGUAGCUUUACAGCUUCUGCUGCCAAAUAAUCUUUCGAUACAGAUAACAUCAGCAUCAAAUAGGACAGACAAGUAAACUAACACCACAAACUUGCCGUUUUCUUGAAUCAUUUCAUCAUGACAACAACAGGUACUGGCCCAGUGCUACAGUUGGAUGUUAUUUAAGGAUUAAAUAGACAAUUUUUGUUCUUUGUUUUCAUCAUAAUGUCUUGGUGGCUUGUUAUCCCCUCUUUUUGUACAAUGAUAUUCCUUUUGUGC